AUGAGUUAAGUAUAAACCCCUUUACAAGUAUCAAUUGGAGGGCAAGUCUGGUGCCAGCAGCCGCGGUAAUUCCAGCUCCAAUAGCGUAUAUUAAAGUUGUUGCAGUUAAAAAGCUCGUAGUUGGAUUUCUGUUAAUAAUUUGUAUAAUAUUUUAACGAUAUUAUAUAAUAUUAACAUAAUUCAUAUUACUAUUUGAAUAGUAUAUGAAAUUUUACUUUGAGAAAAUUAGAGUGCUUAAAGCAGGCAUUAGCCUUGAAUACUCCAGCAUGGAAUAAUAUAAAAGAUUUUUAUCUUUUUUAUUGGUUCUAAGAUAAAAAUAAUGAUUAAUAGGGACAGUUGGGGGCAUUUGUAUUUAACAGUCAGAGGUGAAAUUCUUAGAUUUGUUAAAGACAAACUAAUGCGAAAGCAUUUGCCAAGGAUGUUUUCAUUAAUCAAGAACGAAAGUUAGGGGAUCGAAGACGAUCAGAUACCGUCGUAGU
rnacentral:rRNA from 1 species